CCUACGGGUGGCUGCAGUGGGGAAUUUUGGACAAUGGGGGCAACCCUGAUCCAGCCAUGCCGCGUGCGGGAAGAAGGCCUUCGGGUUGUAAACCGCUUUCGGCCGGAACGAAAUCGCCGGGGAGAACAUCCCCGGUGGAUGACGGUACCGGAAGAAGAAGCACUGGCUAACUACGUGCCAGCAGCCGCGGUAAUACGUAGGGGACGAGCGUUAAUCGGAAUUUCCGGAGGCGAAGCGUGAAGAGGCGGUUGAAAUCCCCGGGCUUAACCUGGGAACUGCGUUUGUGACUGGCGGGCUGGAGUGCGGAAGAGGGAGGUGGAAUUCCACGUGUAGCAGUGAAAUGCGUAGAGAUGUGGAGGAACACCGAUGGCGAAGGCAGCCUCCUGGUCUAGCACUGACGCUCAUGCACGAAAGCGUGGGGAGCAAACAGGAUUAGAUACCCCAGUAGUC
rnacentral:rRNA from 1 species